UACGGGGGGAGCAAGCGUUGUUCGGAUUUACUGGGCGUAAAGGGCGCGUAGGCGGCCAGCACAAGUCAGUUGUGAAAUCUCCGGGCUUAACUCGGAAAGGUCAACUGAUACUGUGCGGCUAGAGUGCAGAAGGGGCAACUGGAAUUCUCGGUGUAGCGGUGAAAUGCGCAGAUAUCAGGAAGAACACCCGUGGCUAAGGCGGCUCUCUAGUACGGUACUGACGCUGAGACGCGAAAGCGUGGGGAGCGAACAGG
rnacentral:rRNA from 1 species